GGCCAGUUGUCUUGGUUUGUCUGGGACUGAGGCAUUUCCCAGGAUGUGGGACUUUCAGUGCUAACACUGGGAAUGU
rnacentral:miRNA from 1 species